rnacentral:rRNA from 1 species
UACGUAGGGUGCAAGCGUUAAUCGGAAUUACUGGGCGUAAAGCGUGCGUAGACGGUUGCGUAAGUCAGAUGUGAAAGCCCCGGGCUCAACCUGGGAAUUGCAUUUGAGACUGCGUAGCUAGGGUGCGGAAGAGGGAAGCGGAAUUUCCGGUGUAGCGGUGAAAUGCGUAGAUAUCGGAAGGAACACCAGUGGCGAAAGCGGCUUCCUGGUCCAGCACCGACGUCAGGCACGAAAGCGUGGGGAGCAAACAGG